UCUGACGACACCUAUAAACCAAAGUGUCGUUUGGUGCAGAACAGCAAAAAGAAAGCUUGUCCUGUUCGAAUUAAAAUUCGGCUUGUUGUGAAGUUCUUAAGCUAUUCGCUUUCAAGUGAAGAAAAUACACCUCAUCAGAAGAAGAAAUUGGUUACGAAUCUUAAAGAAGACCUGAAAAAUUCACCUGUAGAGAAUAUUGAACAUCAUUUUAUAUACAUUUCCCUGCGGUUGAAGAUCAUAGAAAUCACCUGAAAGGAGAGGCAUCCAGUAUCCUCCCACCAAUGGACAAAAGACUCUGAUUACACCAAAAUAGUUGUCGCUGAACAUGGGGUGACUAGUACUCUAAAAAUGAAAUUGCUCUUACACGUUGUUUUUUUUUUUUACGACAGUCCAUUUUCAUCAAUGCUUCUCUUCCAUUAAGACAUGUAAUACUUGUGUAUGGUCUUAAUAUUGUGUGGGGAAUUUUUUCUGCAGGUUUACGUAAUUUUUAUCUUCAAGUUCUUCAGUGACUGAACAAAAUAGGUGUGGUUCAAUCCUAAAUGAUAUAUCAAUAUAUUGAAUAUUUUGUAUAAAAGUAGGACCAAAGCUCUACAAUUAUAGGCAUAUCAUUAUGUAUUUGCCAAAUAACUGCAAAAUAAAUUACUUUUCUUACUUUCGUAUAUUUGCCUUAUAUCUGGUGAGCAAAUUAAGACAUAUCUAUUCAGAGACAGGGUCAUGUUUCUGAUUGAGCAGGAUUUUAGGUCACAUGAGUUUACUCGGGUGACCUAUUGCGGGUUUUCGUCGUGUGUUGUCCGUCGUGCGUUAAAAAUUAAACAUUUUUAGUUUCUUCUUAAUAACUAUUAUUCCAAUUCUUUU